UUUAGUAUAAUGCCGAUCGCUUUGGAAAAAACGGUAAAAAGGGGGUGAUAGAGGGGUGUAUCCCCAUCUUAAAACUGAAAACAGAACCUGCCGGAGGCUUAUAGUUUUUAAGUAAUUUAAUGUUAAAGUUCUAUAAUUUAGCGAAAAGUUGGUGUUGCCAUACACCUGAAAUGAAAACGAAGUUCGCACGCAGGGAUGUUCAGUGGAAGGUUCAUUGUAAAACUGCAGUAUUUUUUGCUGUAAUUUAAAGUUGAGAAAUGAAUUUGAAAAUAAAAACAUACAACUCAUUUAAACUUAAAAACAAUGAUAUUAAGCGUAUCACAAAAAAUAAUAAAGUAAUUAAAAUUAAAUUAAAUUAAUUAACACAGUAUUUUUGCGUGGAACUCUUUAUCGCGUAGGCGGCCUUCGGCCGCGCUUCAUAAAAAUAACCCUCAUCAGUCCUACUCCGGCUACGCAAUCCACAGUAUUUUUGCGUAGAACUCCUUUUCGCGUGGGCGGCCUUCGGCCGCGCUUCAAAAAAAUAACCCUCAUCAGUCCAACUCCGGCUACGCAAUCCACAGUAUUUUUGCGUAGAACUCCUUUUCGCGUGGGUGGCCUUCGGCCGCACUUCAAAAAAAUAACCCUCAUCAGUCCAACUCCGGCUACGCAAUCCACAGUAUUUUUGGGUAGAACUCCUUUUCGCGUGGGCGGCCUUCGGCCGCGCUUCAAAAAAAUAACCCUCAUCAGUCCAACUCCGGCUACGCAAUGCACAGUAUUUUUGCGUAAAACUCCUUUCCGUGUUAAAACCAUUGAACCCAAAAUUAAAACGUCAUAUGCGUGUAUGUAGUAAGCAGGCACAAUAACCCCCAUUCCCAUCAUUAACACUAAACUCAAGUACUUAAUUUUUGUUUUCAUUUGCAGGCAUCCGGCAACACCAUACUGUUGUAAUUCCAAUCUUCUUCUUGUUCGCGCUUAAAAUUGGAAUGUGAUUGCAUAGGCAAAUGAAUUUGAAUUUAAUUUUAAUAGAUAUAAUUAGAAUAUUAGCAUAAAAAUCGGUACAAACACGCGUGUGAGUGUAUAUUUGGUGAUUUAUAGUGAAAUGUUAAAAAAUAUAGAGUGUAAUGUGGCAAAUUAUACUGAUGUUCCCAAGGGCAUUUUGAAUGUAAAUAAUUAAAAAAUUAUUAUUUCCCGAUUAAUUUAAAGUUAUAAAGAGUGUUCCUUAACACCUCACUAACAUCUCCACCAAGUUUCAUUAAAAAAAACAUUAUAGUUUGCCAGAAAUUCCAAGAUCGGCAUUGUUCUAAAUUCCAGCCGUGCCGCUGGUUAAACUGUGAAAGGUACGUUCGCGAUGGCAAUCAGAACAGCAGUGUUGCAAAUUUUGCAAAGUAUCACGUUCUUCUUGAAUCUGUGGCAACACUCGCAAAAGUCAAACGUUCUAUUUACUCAUCACGCGCGCAAAUAACCUCAAUAACCGGCAACACAAAAUUUUUGUCUGCAAGCUUAACACAAAUGCAAUGGAAAAAGAAAGUUUAAUUCACUUAAUAUUAUUUCAUUCUCGAGCUGUCUUCUUCAAGUGUGCGCUGGAUGUCACCUCCUGGAGGAUCCCUAAUGUCUUGU